GACGCAUCAGUGCGGUUGUGCGCGGGGUGGUGGAGGGGAAGGUUGAGAGGGUGGGGUGGCGACCAUGGGGAAUCUGCCCGGCGGCGAGGUGUGACUGUGAGGUGGGCGGUGAGGAAUCUACCUGGCUGUGAGUUUUCUUCCUCUCCCUCCCAAAUUUGAUUUGCUCAUUAGUGUAUCAAUCUAUCUUUCGUUAGGAGGAUCAUAGGACCAUGCUCAAAAACUGCUAGUGGAUUAAUUAAUUUGGCUACUAGGAGAUGACGGGUUGAACGUCUGAAACCUUUGUUGAUAAUUAAUUCUCGAAGCAGAUAGGCGCCUCGUGUUCCCCUGAUGACCAGUGGUUCUAGUUGGUACAUAGCACAUCCCAUUACUAGUUUGUACUCGUCGGAAGGAAACUGAGAUACUGAGAAACCCAGCUCACGAUGUGUGUAGUACUUAUUACUCACGAUGUACAGGCUCGUGAGAUACCAGCUUCAUCCAUCAGAAGAGAGGCACACUACUACUCCAUUUAAACAGUAAAUAGUUAUAUCUUACGAGUUGGGAGGCAAAGUUUGUGGAACUAGUUGCUGCACAACAAUAGUGCUGGUGGAGGCGUCCGUGCUGAGAUGAUAUUUGUUUGCUUCCAUAAAGCUAAUGCUAAUCAAUUAUUUUUCUUCUGUAACACUUUAAAGCACUUCCUUGCAUAAUGUUGAACCUUAAUCUUGUAGUUCUACACUUCUACUGAUAUAUUGUAUAUCUACUGCCUCAAGGGAGCAUAAUAAUUGCUUCCCAUUUCUUAUUUUCUGCUAAGCUUCAUUACGUAGUUGUUUGCUAAAUGAUGCCCGUGAUUGACUGAAUAUUGUUUGGAAUUUCACAAUCAUAAUUAAUCUUUGAUCUGACCGUCUCGAUUGAUUCAGAUGUGCAUUCUGUGUUCUACCAAAAAACAUGCUAAUCUGCAAAAAAUAUUAUGCUGUUAGUGGAUCCUUUCAAUUUAGGAUCUAUUCUCCUACUCUCGGAAUAUUGUUUCCAUAAGCUCCAUUUUAUCUUCAGUUAGCUCAACUUGUACAAUGUUAAGUGAGUUAGCAAAACAGUGAAUUACUGUAUUUUUUACAAUGUUGGUUAAAACUUAACUUGACUAUUCUUCAUUUUGAAACAUUAGCCGGUAACCUCUCCGACAUGCUGCUCAUGACCACCUCCCCAACCAGAUGUUGUUGGUAAGCUCUCUCUUUUCCCCCUCCAUCUAUUUGCUAAGCACACAUUUAUGCAAGAUGGAAAUCCAUCUAUUUAACUCGAUUUUGCUGAAAAAUGUUUCUUUUUAUCCUGUUAGAUGUGUAGGUAGUAGAGGAAGUAUGGAUGGUAAUUUUGUUUCACUCAAUAAAAUCCUUGUGUGUGCUAAUUAUGCAUUGGCAGUAGGUAGUAGACUUAGCCAUUUGGCAAUAGCGGUAUUGGUUAGUUAUAAGAAUUCGUAUUGAUCAUGAAGAGUAUGCCGCAUGAUACUUGAAGCAAUACUGCCUGGUUUUGGAGAUUUGAUCUGCCAAUGCUACUACUACUCUUUUGCAGGUUCUUCUAGUCCGUGGUUUGGAGGACGAGAUGCUUGUGAGGAGCAAGGAGCAAGGAUUUGAGAUGGCUCACUUCUAGUCUCAUGUAUAAGAAUAUGCCCUAUUUUGACUUUGGGGCUUAAUUGCUUUUGUAAUAUAUUGUAAACAUUGUAUUUGUAUUAAAGCAAUAAAAAUUAGUUUAGGAUUUUUAAAAAUUACUUUUGUAAUAUAUUUGUAAACAUCGUAUAUUUGUAUUAAUGGAAGAGUGGAAGCGUGACCUGUUUGCAAGCCCUAACUUUUUUGUAUACACU
rnacentral:lncRNA from 1 species